AAUGAACGCUGGCGGCGCGCCUAAUACAUGCAAGUCGAGCGAGAAGACGUAGCAAUACGUUUGUAAAGCGGCGAACGGGUGAGGAAUACAUGGGUAACCUACCCUCGAGUGGGGAAUAACGUAGCCGAAAGGUUAGCUAAUACCGCGUACGCUUCUUGGACUUCGGUUCAGGGAGGAAAGCGAUGCCGAGGGUAUCGCGCUCUUGGAUGGGCUCAUGUCCUAUCAGCUUGUUGGNGAGGUAACGGCUCACCAAGGCUUCGACGGGUAGCUGGUCUGAGAGGACGAUCAGCCACACUGGCACUGCGACACGGGCCAGACUCCUACGGGAGGCAGCAGUAAGGAAUAUUGCGCAA
rnacentral:rRNA from 1 species